rnacentral:rRNA from 1 species
GACGAACGCUGGCGGCGUGCUUAACACAUGCAAGUCGAACGGAAAGGCCCUGCUUGCUGGGUACUCGAGUGGCGAACGGGUGAGUAACACGUGGGUGAUCUGCCCUGCACUUCGGGAUAAGCCUGGGAAACUGGGUCUAAUACCGGAUAGGAGCCAUUUUUAGUGUGUUGGUUGGAAAGUUUUUUCGGUGUAGGAUGAGCUCGCGGCCUAUCAGCUUGUUGGUGGGGUAAUGGCCUACCAAGGCGGCGACGGGUAGCCGGCCUGAGAGGGUGGACGGCCACAGUGGGACUGAGAUGAGGCCCAGACGCCUACGGGAGGAAGCAGGGGGGAAUAUUGCACAAUGGGCGCAAGCCUGAUGCAGCGACGCCGCGGGGGGGAUGACGGCCUUCGGGUUGUAAACUCCUUUCGCUAGGGACGAAGCUUUUUGUGACGGUACCUAGAUAAGAAGCACCGGCUAACUACGUG